GUGGGGAAUUUUGGACAAUGGGCGCAAGCCUGAUCCAGCCAUGCCGCGUGCAGGAUGAAGGCCUUCGGGUUGUAAACUGCUUUUGUACGGAACGAAAAAGCUCUCUCUAAUACAGGGGGUGAAUGACGGUACCGUAAGAAUAAGCACCGGCUAACUACGUGCCAGCAGCCGCGGUAAUACGUAGGGUGCAAGCGUUAAUCGGAAUUACUGGGCGUAAAGCGUGCGCAGGCGGUUAUGUAAGACAGAGGUGAAAUCCCCGGGCUCAACCUGGGAACUGCCUUUGUGACUGCAUAGCUGGAGUGCGGCAGAGGGGGAUGGAAUUCCGCGUGUAGCAGUGAAAUGCGUAGAUAUGCGGAGGAACACCGAUGGCGAAGGCAAUCCCCUGGGCCUGCACUGACGCUCAUGCACGAAAGCGUGGGGAGCAAACAGGAUUAGAAACCCGAGUAGUCC
rnacentral:rRNA from 1 species